GAAGGGAUUGAGGAUGAUGCACUAUACAAUUCAGACAUUGUAGUCGCACAACGUACUAGCUUCCCGCAAGAAGACUUUGACGCAAAUAAGGGUUGUGGUGAUCAUUCCCAACGCAGAAAACACGAACCCUUGUCAAGAUUAAUAAAUGCAACAAAGAUGGGGUUCAAAUUGCACGACGUAUUGUUAGAUUUCGGGCAGACACAACUAACACUCGGCGAUUUGUGGACACUUAUUCCGCCUAAAGUGGCACGUAUGCACAGUUUAGAGACAUCGUCAUUAACAAAUUUCCAUCCUGGUUGGCUAAUUGAUAAGGUGGUGGAAGCAUCUUUGUGGAUGUUGACUUUGGAAUAUAAUGUUUU